rnacentral:misc_RNA from 1 species
CCAAAGUUCUGACCAGGUGUGUGCC